UAUACUUAUGAUGCAUCAUUGAUGCCUGUGCAGUCCUCCUGCUAUAGAAAGAUUAUCAAGUGGCGUGUUUCAGGAAGUUAUCAUAACAAAUACAAUCCCAGUGGCUGAGAAGAACUAUUUCCCUCAAUUAACAGUCUUGUCAGUAGCAAACCUUCUGGGGGAAACUAUAUGGCGUGUUCAUGAUAACUGCUCAGGUGGAAUUGAACCUUAUUCCAAUUUGGGCGUUGAUUGAUGCUCGUUCUAGCUUAUGACGUUGCGGUAACUACCGAAGACUGUAGAUGGAAUUUAUGGAAAAAGCUGUUCUUAGUCUGUAGAGCUGUUCCGUGGGUAUAAGCGGUCCUGUAGAUGCGGGAAAAAAAAAUUUUAGUCUAAAAUUCAUAAUGGGAAGUCGUACGUGAUUCCCUUGUUUUUGGUGAAUUUUAACACUGAACAGUAUAUGAUACUUGGUCAUAUUGUUCUGUUAUAUUUCCAUAUUCUUUCGUAUUUUGUUGAAUCAUUGUCAAUUAAGCAAGGAUUAAUACAAUUGCUGGUCCCUCAAAUUUGUUCUUAUUUUGA